ACUAGGGGAACGAAGGCUAAAAACGUCACGUCCUGUGACAACGCCUUCGUGACCAACAUCCUGUAGC
rnacentral:sRNA from 1 species